UAGUGAGUAAAACAGUCCAGAAAGUUUUCUUGCCAGACUACCAUCUUGUUUCUUUUUCCCUGCAUGAUUUGAAGUUGGUAGACUACACAACUCUUAUUGAGUGAUAUUUAAUAGCAACAGUAUGAUUAGUUCCUCAAACUCAAGGAAGCAGCAACACCUGUACAAGUCUGGAAGACAAGGAGCUUCUACUUUAAUAAGCUGAUAGAGAAUGAAAUAAGAAAAAUGAAGAGACCAAGUUAUAAAAGAACAAUAUGUU